rnacentral:rRNA from 1 species
UACAGAGGUCUCAAGCGUUGUUCGGAUUCAUUGGGCGUAAAGGGUGCGUAGGUGGUGGGGUAAGUCGGAUGUGAAAUCCCGGGGCUCAACCCCGGAACUGCAUUCGAUACUGCCUUGCUCGAGUACUGGAGAGGAGACUGGAAUUUACGGUGUAGCAGUGAAAUGCGUAGAUAUCGUAAGGAAGACCAGUGGCGAAGGCGAGUCUCUGGACAGUUGCUGACACUGAGGCACGAAGGCCAGGGGAGCAAACGGG